CUUACACAUGCAAGUCGAACGGCAGCGCGGGGCAACCUGGCGGCGAGUGGCGAACGGGUGAGUAAUAUAUCGGAACGUACCCUGGAGUGGGGGAUAACGUAGCGAAAGUUACGCUAAUACCGCAUACGAUCUAAGGAUGAAAGUGGGGGAUCGCAAGACCUCAUGCUCCUGGAGCGGCCGAUAUCUGAUUAGCUAGUUGGUGGGGUAAAGGCCUACCAAGGCAUCGAUCAGUAGCUGGUCUGAGAGGACGACCAGCCACACUGGAACUGAGACACGGUCCAGACUCCUACGGGAGGCAGCAGUGGGGAAUUUUGGACAAUGGGCGAAAGCCUGAUCCAGCAAUGCCGCGUGAGUGAAGAAGGCCUUCGGGUUGUAAAGCUCUUUUGUCAGGGAAGAAACGGUGAGGGCUAAUAUCUUUUGCUAAUGACGGUACCUGAAGAAUAAGCACCGGCUAACUACGUGCCAGCAGCCGCGGUAAUACGUAGGGUGCAAGCGUUAAUCGGAAUUACUGGGCGUAAAGCGUGCGCAGGCGGUUUUGUAAGUCUGUCGUGAAAUCCCCGGGCUCAACCUGGGAAUUGCGAUGGAGACUGCAAGGCUAGAAUCUGGCAGAGGGGGGUAGAAUUCCACGUGUAGCAGUGAAAUGCGUAGAGAUGUGGAGGAACACCGAUGGCGAAGGCAGCCCCCUGGGUCAAGAUUGACGCUCAUGCACGAAAGCGUGGGGAGCAAACAGGAUUAGAUACCCUGGUAGUCCACGCCCUAAACGAUGUCUACUAGU
rnacentral:rRNA from 1 species